AGUAAAAGUCGUAACAAGGUUUCCGUAGGUGAACCUGCGGAAGGAUCAUUACCACACCUAAAAACUUUCCACGUGAACUGUAUCAAAACAACUAAUUGGGGGUUUAAUUGGCGUCGGCUGCUGACAUCUUUUUGUUGGCGGCUGCUGCUGAGCAAGCCCUAUCAUGGCGAAUAUUCGGACCUUGGUCUGAACUAGUAGCUUUCGUUUUAAACCCAUUCCUAAUUACUGAUUAUACUGUGGGGACGAAAGUCUCUGCUUUUAACUAGAUAGCAACUUUCAGCAGUGGAUGUCUAGGCUCGCACAUCGAUGAAGAACGCUGCGAACUGCGAUACGUAAUGCGAAUUGCAGGAUUCAGUGAGUCAUCGAAAUUUUGAACGCAUAUUGCACCUCCGGGUUAUUCCUGGAGGUAUGCCUGUAUCAGUGUCCGUACAUCAAACUUGGUUUUCUUCUUUCCGUGUAGUCGGGGGAGGAUAUGCCAGAUGUGAAGUGUCUUACGGCUGAUUUUCGGAAUCGCUGUGAGUCCUUUGAAAUGUACAGAACUGACUCUCUUUGUUCGAAAAGCGUGGCAUUGCUGGUUGUAAAGGCUGUUCAUGUG
rnacentral:rRNA from 1 species